AGCAGCCGCGGUAAUUCCAGCUCCAAUAGCGUAUAUUAAAGUUGUUGCAGUUAAAAAGCUCGUAGUUGAAUUUCGGGGUUAGUAGGUUGGUCAUGCCUCUGGUAUGUACUGGUCUCACUGAUUCCUCCUUCCUGAUGAGCCGUAAUGCCAUUAAUUUGGUGUUGCGGGGAAUUUGGACUGUUACUUUGAAAAAUUAGAGUGUUUAAAGCAAGCUAACGCUUGAAUACAUUAGCAUGGAAUAAUGAAAUAGGACGUUCGAUCCUAUUUUGUUGGUUUCUAGGAUUGACGUAAUGAUUAAUAGGGAUAGUUGGGGGCAUUAGUAUUCAAUUGUCAGAGGUGAAAUUCUUGGAUUUAUUGAAGACUAACUACUGCGAAAGCAUUUGCCAAGGAUGUUUUCAUUAAUCAAGAACGAAAGUUAGGGAUCGAAGACGAUCAGAUACCGUCGUAGUCUUAACCAUAAACUAUGCCGACUAGGGAUCGGAUGAUGUUAAUUUUUUAAUGUACUCAUUCGGCGCCUUAA
rnacentral:misc_RNA from 1 species